UACGUAGGGCGCGAGCGUUGUCCGGAUUUAUUGGGCGUAAAGAGCUCGUAGGCGGCUUGUCGCGUCAACUGUGAAAACCCGUGGCUCAACCAUGUGGUCUGCAGUCGAUACGGGCAGGCUAGAAUUCGGUAGGGGAGACUGGAAUUCCGGGUGUAGCGGUGGAAUGCGUAGAGAUCCGGAAGAACACCGGUGGCGAAGGCGGUCUGCUGGGCAGUUGCUGGACGCUGAUGCGCGACAGCGUGGGGAGCAAACAGG
rnacentral:rRNA from 1 species